rnacentral:rRNA from 1 species
GGAUCAAUAUGUCGGUCGUGCUUCGGUACGUACUGGCGUUAUUGGUUUCUCCCUUCUGAAGAACCGCGAUGUCAUUAAUUUGGUGUCGUGGGGAAUCAGGACUGUUACUUUGAAAAAUUAGAGUGUUUAAAGCAGGCUCGCGCUUGAAUACAUUAGCAUGGAAUAAUGAAAUAGGACGUUUGAUUCUAUUUUGUUGGUUUCUAGGAUCGACGUAAUGAUU